rnacentral:misc_RNA from 1 species
UCCCCAAAGGGGCAGUCCGGCCCGCACAAGCGGUGGAGCAUGUGGUUCAAUUCGAAGCAACGCGCAGAACCUUACCAGCUCUUGACAUGUCCCGUAUGGGUUUCAGAGAUGAGACCCUUCAGUUCGGCUGGCGGGAACACAGGUGCUGCAUGGCUGUCGUCAGCUCGUGUCGUGAGAUGUUGGGUUAAGUCCCGCAACGAGCGCAACCCUCGGCCUUAGUUGCCAUCAUUUAGUUGGGCACUCUAAGGCGACUGCCGGUGAUAAGCCGGAGGAAGGUGGGGAUGACGUCAGCCUAUCGAGA